GAUGAACGCUAGCGGCAGGCUUAAUACAUGCAAGUCGAGGGGCAGCAUGGUUGUAGCAAUACAACUGAUGGCGACCGGCAAACGGGUGCGGAACACGUACGCAAUCUACCCAGAACUGAUGAAUAGCCCUCCGAAAGGAGGAUUAAUACAUCGUAACAUAAUUGAAUGGCAUCAUUUAAUUAUUAUAGCUCCGGCGGUUUUGGAUGAGCGUGCGCCUGAUUAGGUAGUUGGCGGGGUAACGGCCCACCAAGCCUGCGAUCAGUAACUGGUGUGAGAGCACGACCAGUCACACGGGCACUGAGACACGGGCCCGACUCUACGGGAGGCAGCAGUAAGGAAUAUUGGUCAAUGGACGCAAGUCUGAACCAGCCAUG
rnacentral:rRNA from 1 species